UCAAAAUAAUACGGGUCAAGGUCGGCUAGACGAUGGGGAUAAGCUUUAUCGUCGAGACGGAAAUAGCCCGGAUCAUCAGCUAAGGCCCCUAAAUGAUCGCUUAGUGAUAAAGGAUGUAGAGACAACCAAGAGGUCUGUCAAGAAGCAGUCACCAUUAAAAAAGUGUAUAAUAACUCACUAAUCGUGCGCUCUCGCGCCGAAGUGGGAUGUAAACCCAAUUUUCUAACUUUGGCAUAAAUAAUACAUCAGGGAAGA
rfam:Nicotiana attenuata strain TT chromosome 3, whole genome shotgun sequence.